rnacentral:pre_miRNA from 3 species
CUGGUUUCAUAUGGUGGUUUAGAUUUAACUACUGAGUGUCUAGCACCAUUUGAAAUCAGUGU